ensembl:lncRNA
GUCUGAUCUAAUCUAUAAAUCAUGAGUCCUUUCUUCAUCCUGUCUGCUGUUUCUGAAUGAUGUAUUUAUAUUUCUGUGUGUUUCAUCUCCUGUUUCCUCUAAAACAGUGUGUGAUACGCUGCAGCAGAAAUUAACCGGCCUCCUGCUUCGGAUAAAUAAACCUCUGGCAGCUUUCCUGCGAUGCCUUCAGGUGCUCUCAGGUUAUUAAUGGUCCAGACUCGGGGCUGUAACCUCCGGCUUCACCUCGGCUCUGUAAACAGCAGCAUGGUGGGAAAGUUGGGUCCAUCCGUCUCACUUCCUGUCAGAGGUAUCACGGGAAAACAGCAGCGACAGGAAGGAGGGAUGAGGGACGGACAGCGACGAGAGAGCAACGAAGGAUGAGCUCACGGGGGGAGAUGGAGCUUCCAGGAUCCCUGACGGAAACCGAAGCAGCAGCGAGCCGACAAAGUGGAGGGUUUGAGAGCGGCGAGGCGGAGGAGGAGGAACAGGAGAACAGGUGAGGCUUUGUCUGGACGGCUCUCCGAG